AGGGUCUCGUCCCGCCCCGCGCACACGCGGCCCUCCCCGCGGCUGGAGCUGCUGGAUGCGCCCUAUGGCAGCCCCACAGCUUCUGCUGAGCCCUCGGCUCCGGUGUCUUCCUGGCGGUUCCUCCUUCCUGAGGUGUCCGCGUGGUGCUGACCGCAGGCCGAGAGGAGUUCCCGCCUGCACUGAAAGAAUAGCUCAACAUCUGUCAUCCCAUUCUCUGCCAUGGCCCAAAAUCAGGAAGACUACAGCUGUCCUGUUCCUUUCAGAUACUUCUGGGAUAGAGAGGUUGGGAAUUAUACCACAACUGCUGAGUGCUGGAUGAAG
rnacentral:lncRNA from 1 species